GAGAGUUUGAUCCUGGCUCAGGACGAACGCUGGCGGCAUGCCUAAUACAUGCAAGUCGAACGAGCUUCCGUUGAAUGACGUGCUUGCACUGAUUUCAACAUUGAAGCGAGUGGCGAACUGGUGAGUAACACGUGGGUAACUUGCCCAGAAGCAGGGGAUAACACUUGGAAACAGGUGCUAAUACCGUAUAACAACAAAAA
rnacentral:rRNA from 1 species